UGGCAGCCAUGGAGAAGAGGGUACACCCGAUCCCAUUCCGAACUCGGCAGUUAAGCUCUUCAUCGCCGAUGAUACUGCAUGCUUUUUGUGGGAAAGUAGGCCGCUGCCAAAUU
rnacentral:rRNA from 1 species